rnacentral:rRNA from 1 species
GCUUACGGCCACACCACCCUGAACACGCCCGAUCUCGUCUGAUCUCGGAAGCUAAGCAGGGCUGGGCCUGGUUAGUACUUGGAUGGGAGACCGCCUGGGAAUACCAGGUGCUGUAAGUU